rfam:Pseudomonas syringae pv. tomato str. DC3000, complete genome.
CGCCUCAUGCCUGAAAGGGCGACGGUGUGAGCCGGAGCGAGAAGUCAGCAGCGGUCAUAGUAGCUGCGCUGCAGCGAAGGAC